UGGGGAAUUUUCCGCAAUGGGCGAAAGCCUGACGGAGCAAUACCGCGUGAGGGAGGAAGGCUCUUGGGUUGUAAACCUCUUUUCUCAGGGAAUAAAAGAGAAGGUACCUGAGGAAUAAGCAUCGGCUAACUCCGUGCCAGCAGCCGCGGUAAUACGGAGGAUGCAAGCGUUAUCCGGAAUGAUUGGGCGUAAAGCGUCCGCAGGUGGUAUUUCAAGUCUGCUGUCAAAGAGUUUGGCUCAACCAAAUAAAGGCAGUGGAAACUGAAAAACUAGAGUGCGUUCGGGGUAGAGGGAAUUCCUGGUGUAGCGGUGAAAUGCGUAGAGAUCAGGAAGAACACCGGUGGCGAAAGCGCUCUACUAGGCCGCAACUGACACUGAGGGACGAAAGCUAGGGGAGCGAAUGGGAUUAGAUACCCCAGUAGUCCUAGCCGUAAACGAUGGAUACUAGGCGUUGCUUGUAUCGACCCGAGCAGUGCCGUAGCUAACGCGUUAAGUAUCCCGCCUGGGGAGUACGCACGCAAGUGUGAAACUCAAAGGAAUUGACGGGGGCCCGCACAAGCGGUGGAGUAUGUGGUUUAAUUCGAUGCAACGCGAAGAACCUUACCAGGGCUUGACAUGUCGCGAAUCAGGGGGAAACUUCUGAGUGCCUUCGGGAGCGCGAACACAGGUGGUGCAUGGCUGUCGUCAGCUCGUGUCGUGAGAUGUUGGGUUAAGUCCCGCAACGAGCGCAACCCUCGUUUUUAGUUGCCAGCACUUAGGGUGGGCACUCUAAAGAGACUGCCGGUGACAAACCGGAGGAAGGUGGGGAUGACGUCAAGUCAGCAUGCCCCUUACGUCCUGGGCUACACACGUACUACAAUGCAACGGACAAAGGGCAGCAAGCUAGCAAUAGCAAGCAAAUCUCGUAAACCGUUGCUCAGUUCAGAUCGAAGGCUGCAACUCGCCUUCGUGAAGGUGGAAUCGCUAGUAAUUGCAGGUCAGCAUACUGCAGUGAAUUCGUUCCCGGGCCUUGUACACACCGCCCGUCACACCAUGGAAGCUGGUAGUGCCCGAAGUCAUUACCCCAACUAUUCGUAGAGGGGGAUGCCUAAGGCAGGACUGGUGACUGGGGUGAAGUCGUAACAAGGUAGCCGUACCGGAAGGUGUGGCUGGAUCACCUCCUUUUUAGGGAGACCUAACCCAUCACAAAACCGAAACACACUGGAAUAGGUUCAAGAUGAGGUCACCCAAGGUCGUUCGAGGAUUGUCGAUAGCUUUCAAACUAUAGAUGGUUUGGUUUAAACUUUCUUAAAAAUAACGGAUAAACCAUCUCAGCAAUCUUGCUGUAAAAAGCAAAUCUGCUGGGUUGAAUCCAGCCAGAACCUUGAAAACUGCAUAGAGAAGUAGCGAAAGAAAAGCAGAUAGGAAAGUGUAGGUAGAAAUUCCAGACACAAGACUAUUUUUUGUGGUCAAGCUAGAAAGGGCUAAUGGUGGAUACCUAGGCACACAGAG
rnacentral:misc_RNA from 1 species